rnacentral:lncRNA from 1 species
UUUGCUAAGAUGUAGUAUAUUAUUUAUAAAUUAUAAUUUAAAUUUUAAAUUCAAAUGACAAAUUUAAUUGUAUGUCUUAAAAUUUAAUUAUAAAUUUAAUUUAUAUUUAAAUUUAAUUAAAUUUUAUUUUUAAAUAAACUUACUAAAAACAUAAAGCAUUUAGGCUUUGAACUUUGAACCUCGCGUCCCAUCACCAAGCCUUUACCCAAAUGUGUUAGGGUUUGUCAAUUACAU